CGAUUAGUUCAGACGUUUGUUUGAGUCACGUUUAAAGUGUCCUUCUGGGUCAAAAGCAUCCGCCUGAAUCAAACUUUCGUGAUCGCCGGCGGGCUGUAGAUGCUCUUAGUUUCGCACCGCCCGAUCCGGCAACUUUCAGCUUCAGGAUAGCAGCUGACGGGUGACGGCGGCUCGGACCUGGAACACGGGAAUCCAUCGCUUGUCGUCGCCGCCGCGGGCCAUCUCCGACCUUCCAGCCAGCCCCUUCCCCUCCCGCAGGAUCACCGGCCGCCAUCUCUCUCUCUCUCUCUCUCGCAGGGUCCCAAUCAUGAUGUCUGCAACUGUAGAGCAGGUGGCUGGUGGUUUCUCAUCGGCAGUUAUCCAGCGUGUUGCCGACUAGACGAUUGAUUUCCUUGACAACAACUAUAAUCUAAGCCAUGCUACUGAAGAGCUUCUGACAAAACUCCGCACAAACCUCACGAUCGUGAAGGCAAUAACUGAGGUGGCUGACAAUGAGGUUAUCAUCAACACUAGUCUUACCAAGUGGUUGAGGAACCUCCAUGAUGCUGCCUAUGAAGCAGAGGAUGUGCUCGACAGAUUUGACACUCGUGAGGUAUUCACAGGAAAGCGCAAGGUGUCCGAGCUUAUAUCGUCAUCAGUUAGGGUCCUGAGAGGUUUGAUUGUGCCUGAUGAGAGUCUGCGAAUGCUUGAAUGUGUUGUGCAAAAGCUCGACCACCUUUGCGCAACGUCCAACAUAUUUCUGGAGCUCAUGAAGCAGAGCAGCUUAGCAUCCACCAAGGAGGGAAUAGGUGGAGAGACUACUUCUCGUGUUCCGAUUGAUGUCAAGGUGUUUGGCCGCGAUGAAGUUCUGGAGAUGAUACUGAAAAUUGUUCUGGGUUCAUCUGGCUCUGAACCAGAAUCCAGUAGCGUAAGAGCAAAGCUUGGGGCAAGGUGCCGCAUUGGUGGUGUUGAUGUUAUACCAAUUGUUGGUAUGAGCGGAGUUGGGAAGACAACCCUUGCUCAAGUCAUUUACAAUCAUGGAAGUGUGAAGGGCCACUUUAGACAGAGAGCAUGGGUGUAUGUUUCAAGACACUUUAGUGUGAAGAGAACCCUGCAAGAGAUGUUGCGCUCUUUGAAAGGAAAUGAUUCAUCUUUUGACUACGCUGAUAGUCUGGAAACAGUUGUUAACAAUGUUCAAAAUGUCAUCCAGCAGGAAGGAAGAUUCCUUCUUGUGCUAGAUAGUGUUUGGGAUGAGAUGUGUGAGCAGUGGAAUAGUUUGCUUACUGCCAUAACUCGUGAAGUGCCAGGAAUUGUAGUUCUUGUCACAACACAAAGCAAAAAGGUUGCAGACAAAGUAGCAACAAUGUGUCAAGUUCCAUUAGCACCUUUGCCAUGGGAGAGUUUUUUGGUCAGCUUUCCAGUAUUAUGCAUUUGGCACCAGCAAUGUUGUGGUGGAGAACAAUCAGAUUCUUCUGUUAAUUGGUGAGCAAAUAGCAAAAAAACUAGAUGGCUUGCCGUUAGCAGCAAAAGUAAUGGGAAAUCUGUUAAGAUCCAGAUUUACCGUACACCAGUGGAGAAGCAUCCUUGAGAGCGAUUGGUGGGACCUGAGUGAAGUUCUUUGUGAAAUCCUUCCAUACAUGGGGAUUAGUUAUCAGGAUCUACAGCCUAGACAAAGGCAGUGCUUCGCUUUCUGUUCGAUUUUUCCAGGAAAUUACUUGUUUGAUAAAGAUAGAUUGGUCAAUAUGUGGAUUUCUCACGAUUUCAUUGAACAAAGCGCAUCUGGUGGCACUAGAUUAGAGGAUAUUGGAGGUAAAUUGUUUGAUGAACUUGUGCAAAGAUCAUUCCAGGCUACAUUUGACAAAAAGAGGUACAUUAUGCACGAUCUAGUACGGGCUCUGGCAAUUGGUGUUUCUUCAUAUGAAUGCUUUCUCCACAGAGAGACCUCACAGAGAGCAUCACCAACUGUUCGCCACUUGGCUCUGCACGUUGGUAAUCAACUUCACCUUCAUGAACUCAACAAGUAUAAAAAUCUGCGGACAAUCUUACUGUUUGGUCAUUGUGACAGUAAUGCAAUUUGUGAUAUUCUGGACAAUAUGUUGGCUAACUCAAGUAGCAUACGAGUGUUGGACUUGUCUCAUUUGGAGGUGCUGACAAAUAUGCUGCCCAACAUUUCUUCCUUGAGAAAAUUGAGAUUCUUUGAUCUUUCUUUCACAAAAAUCAGCAAUUUGCGCAACUUCCCUUGCAAUCUUCAAGUUCUAUACCUCCGCGGAUAUGCCCGGAAUACUAUUCCUCAAAGCAUCAAUAGUCUUGCCAACUUACGUCACCUGUAUGUUGAUGCUACAGCUCUCUCUUUAUGAUUCCUAGUAUUGGACAACUAAGUAAACUUCAAGAAUUGGAGAAUUUCAGCGCUGGAAAGAGAAAUGGAUUCAUGAUAAGUGAGAUAAAGAACAUGCAAGAGUUAUCUGGAAAACUUUGCAUUAGCAAUAUCCACAUCAUUAGGAGCACACAUGAGGCAAUGGAUGCCAAUAUGAUUGAGAAGAAGCACCUUGAGGCCUUGGAGUUGAAGGGGAGAAAUGUAUCCAAAGAUGUACUUGAAGGAUUGCAGCCGCACCCAAAUCUGAAAGAGCUCAUGAUUGAAGGUUACGGGGCCUCAACUUCACCAAGCUGGAUGUUGCAAGGUCACAUCUUUACAAAAAUUUAGUCCCUUCAUGUUGGAAACUGUCGACUUCUGGUUGCACUUCCACCAUUUGGAAAAUUCCCUUCACUCAAGCAUCUCACCCUAGAUAACCUGUCGUCAGUGAAGCAUGUCGAUGGAACAUCUUUCGGUUGCCUCCCAAGUUUGGAGGACUUAACUAUUUCUUCGAUGACAUCAUGGAUAAAAUGGUUACAUGCCGAAGAAGAUCAUGGCCCUCUCCUUCCACACAUCACCAGGUUUCGACUUCACAAUUGCCCUUCACUGGAAGAAGUGCCGUAUCUAUCAUUCAUAUCUUCACUGUCAGAACUUGACAUUUCAGCUUGUGGGGACUUUGUCAAGGCACUGCCACAACAUUUACAACUCUUGGCAUGUCUCAAAAAAUUAAGUAUGUCUUACUGCGAUCACCCAGUGCUAUUCUCUGGGCAUCAGUUGAAGUCACUGGAGUAUCUAUAUCUUAGAAAAUGUGGAGGGCUACGUUUGAUUGAUGGGUUACACUGCUUUCCCAGCCUCAGGAAAGUUAAUGUUUAUGGCUGUCCUAACAUUCUUGCCGAGUUCUCAGACAAUUCAAGUAGACAAGAUGAGCAGGGCGUACUUCACCUUACCAAUCUAGAAACAGAUGUGAGCUUGAUUAAUCGAAAUUCUUUCCUCUCCUCAGUGAGAGAUCUGUGUAUCUCUUAUUUGGAGGCCUUUAGCUUUACCCCAGAGCAGGAGGAAUGGUUUCAACAACUGAUCUCUGUAGAGAAAAUUGAGUUUUUUCACUGUCGCUUUCUCCACGGACGACUCCCUUCUACACUAGGCAGACUUGUCUCGUUGAAAAGACUUCAUUUUACCAUGACGUUACCGGUGUCACUGAACGGACUUGUGCCACUUAACCUCCAAGAAUUGAUCAUGGAUGGCUUCAACAUGGAAAAUAACUUCAAACCUGGAGGAUCAGAUUGGCCAAACAUUUCUCAUGUUCCAUACAUUCGACUUAACGGGAAGACAGUCCAAAAUCUGUCAAUUAAUGCUGCUUCAUCUUCUUCAAACCACCAAAUUUGAGCAACCAUGUACCUGUUACCGUGUCUCCAUCUGCAGUACAAAUAAUAUUUCUAGUGCACCCAGGACAGUCAGUAGUUCCCGAGAAAGCUCAGGAAGAUCAAGGAGAAGGAGACUGACGACGUGCGGGCUUGAAGGGCACCAAGGAGUAAAGUGGCAGGACUCUUCUCUGUUGCUGCUGGGCUCUUGGACCCCAAUGCAUGUGGAGGAGGAUAUAUAGGGAGACCGUCCUCACCAAUAAUGAACUUGUUGCUGAACCUUUGGUACUAACUGAACCGUUGUUGAUAGGUUGUGUGCACCAGGGUGUUUGACCGAGAUGGCACCCUUGAUGACGGACGAUGCCUGGAGCAGCCAGACAGGUGCAGGGGAGGUAAACAACAUGUUGUUCAGGUAGAAAGAUGGAGGAUUCAGAUUCAGCCAUGUCGGCAAGGCAACCAUGGCUGACUGAUCGGAACACUCCUUCGCCAGCUGAUUGAUCGGCUCAUUGCCGGUGCCGAGCAGAGCUGCAGAUGACAAUGCCAAUUCACCUCGUAGUUCAUCAGUUUAAUUUUUGGCCUGGUACUGUGUGUCUCUUGGUGCUGUCCUUGAUGGUUCAGUCAGACAACCUGAUUAGCUUACACUCUGGUGCCAUUUCCUAUGCGCAACAGUUGAUCCUACCUUGUAUACGAUCAGAUUGUUUUGAAGGGCGGUAGAUCGGGUGCUUGAUACAUAAAUCCGCACAAGAUGCUGGUUGAUGCACGCUUACCAGCUUGAAGAUGAACUAAUAAUAGCACGAACUCUUGAGAAGUUGUUCUCUUGUUCAGCAAACAUGUUGAACACGAGAGAAACGUUAUGGCCACUUGUCAGAGAUAUGUGACACCU